rnacentral:rRNA from 1 species
UUAAGCGACUAAGCGUACACGGUGGAUGCCCUGGCAGUCAGAGGCGAUGAAGGACGUGCUAAUCUGCGAAAAGCGUCGGUAAGGUGAUAUGAACCGUUAUAACCGGCGAUGUCCGAAUGGGGAAACCCAGUGUGAUUCGUCACACUAUCGUUAACUGAAUACAUAGGUUAACGAGGCAAACCGGGGGAACUGAAACAUCUAAGUACCCCGAGGAAAAGAAAUCAACCGAGAUUCCCCCAGUAGCGGCGAGCGAACGGGGAGCAGCCCAGAGUCUGAAUCAGCUUGUGUGUUAGUGGAACGGUCUGGAAAGUCCGACGGUACAGGGUGAUAGUCCCGUACACCAAAAUGCACAGGUUGUGAACUCGAAGAGUAGGGCGGGACACGUGGUAUCCUGUCUGAAUAUGGGGGGACCAUCCUCCAAGGCUAAAUACUCCUGACUGACCGAUAGUGAACCAGUACCGUGAGGGAAAGGCGAAAAGAACCCCGGCGAGGGGAGUGAAAAAGAACCUGAAACCGUGUACGUACAAGCAGUGGGAGCACCUUCGGGUGUGACUGCGUACCUUUUGUAUAAUGGGUCAGCGACUUAUAUUCUGUAGCAAGGUUAACCGUAUAGGGGAGCCGCAGGGAAACCGAGUCUUAACUGGGCGUUAAGUUGCAGGGUAUAGACCCGAAACCCGGUGAUCUAGCCAUGGGCAGGUUGAAGGUUGGGUAACACUAACUGGAGGACCGAACCGACUAAUGUUGAAAAAUUAGCGGAUGACUUGUGGCUGGGGGUGAAAGGCCAAUCAAACCGGGAGAUAGCUGGUUCUCCCCGAAAGCUAUUUAGGUAGCGCCUCGUGAAUUCAUCUUCGGGGGUAGAGCACUGUUUCGGCUAGGGGGUCAUCCCGACUUACCAACCCGAUGCAAACUACGAAUACCGAAGAAUGUUAUCACGGGAGACACACGGCGGGUGCUAACGUCCGUCGUGAAGAGGGAAACAACCCAGACCGCCAGCUAAGGUCCCAAAGUCAUGGUUAAGUGGGAAACGAUGUGGGAAGGCACAGACAGCCAGGAUGUUGGCUUAGAAGCAGCCAUCAUUUAAAGAAAGCGUAAUAGCUCACUGGUCGAGUCGGCCUGCGCGGAAGAUGUAACGGGGCUAAACCAUGCACCGAAGCUGCGGCAGCGACACUAUGUGUUGUUGGGUAGGGGAGCGUUCUGUAAGCCUGCGAAGGUGACCUGUGAGGGUUGCUGGAGGUAUCAGAAGUGCGAAUGCUGACAUAAGUAACGAUAAAGCGGGUGAAAAGCCCGCUCGCCGGAAGACCAAGGGUUCCUGUCCAACGUUAAUCGGGGCAGGGUGAGUCGACCCCUAAGGCGAGGCCGAAAGGCGUAGUCGAUGGGAAACAGGUUAAUAUUCCUGUACUUGGUGUUACUGCGAAGGGGGGACGGAGAAGGCUAUGUUAGCCGGGCGACGGUUGUCCCGGUUUAAGCAUGUAGGCUGGUUGUCCAGGCAAAUCCGGAUAAUCAAGGCUGAGGUGUGAUGACGAGGCACUACGGUGCUGAAGUAACAAAUGCCCUGCUUCCAGGAAAAGCCUCUAAGCAUCAGGUAACAUCAAAUCGUACCCCAAACCGACACAGGUGGUCAGGUAGAGAAUACCAAGGCGCUUGAGAGAACUCGGGUGAAGGAACUAGGCAAAAUGGUGCCGUAACUUCGGGAGAAGGCACGCUGGUGUGUAGGUGAAGUCCCUGCGGAUGGAGCUGAGACCAGUCGAAGAUACCAGCUGGCUGCAACUGUUUAUUAAAAACACAGCACUGUGCAAACACGAAAGUGGACGUAUACGGUGUGACGCCUGCCCGGUGCCGGAAGGUUAAUUGAUGGGGUUAUCCGUAAGGAGAAGCUCUUGAUCGAAGCCCCGGUAAACGGCGGCCGUAACUAUAACGGUCCUAAGGUAGCGAAAUUCCUUGUCGGGUAAGUUCCGACCUGCACGAAUGGCGUAAUGAUGGCCAGGCUGUCUCCACCCGAGACUCAGUGAAAUUGAACUCGCUGUGAAGAUGCAGUGUACCCGCGGCAAGACGGAAAGACCCCGUGAACCUUUACUAUAGCUUGACACUGAACAUUGAGCCUUGAUGUGUAGGAUAGGUGGGAGGCUUUGAAGCGUGGACGCCAGUCUGCGUGGAGCCAACCUUGAAAUACCACCCUUUAAUGUUUGAUGUUCUAACGUUGGCCCCUUACCGGGGUUGCGGACAGUGUCUGGUGGGUAGUUUGACUGGGGCGGUCUCCUCCCAAAGCGUAACGGAGGAGCACGAAGGUUAGCUAAUCCUGGUCGGACAUCAGGAGGUUAGUGCAAUGGCAUAAGCUAGCUUGACUGCGAGCGUGACGGCGCGAGCAGGUGCGAAAGCAGGUCAUAGUGAUCCGGUGGUUCUGAAUGGAAGGGCCAUCGCUCAACGGAUAAAAGGUACUCCGGGGAUAACAGGCUGAUACCGCCCAAGAGUUCAUAUCGACGGCGGUGUUUGGCACCUCGAUGUCGGCUCAUCACAUCCUGGGGCUGAAGUAGGUCCCAAGGGUAUGGCUGUUCGCCAUUUAAAGUGGUACGCGAGCUGGGUUUAGAACGUCGUGAGACAGUUCGGUCCCUAUCUGCCGUGGGCGCUGGAGAAUUGAGGGGGGCUGCUCCUAGUACGAGAGGACCGGAGUGGACGCAUCACUGGUGUUCGGGUUGUCAUGCCAAUGGCACUGCCCGGUAGCUAAAUGCGGAAGAGAUAAGUGCUGAAAGCAUCUAAGCACGAAACUUGCCCCGAGAUGAGUUCUCCCUGAGACUUUAAGUCUCCUGAAGGAACGUUGAAGACGACGACGUUGAUAGGCCGGGUGUGUAAGCGCAGCGAUGCGUUGAGCUAACCGGUACUAAUGAACCGUGAGGCUUAACCUU